UACGUAGGAUGCAAGCGUUGUCCGGAUUUACUGGGCGUAAAGCGUGCGCAGGCGGUUGUGUAAGACAGAUGUGAAAUCCCCGGGCUCAACCUGGGAACUGCAUUUGUGACUGCACGGCUGGAGUGCGGCAGAGGGGGAUGGAAUUCCGCGUGUAGCAGUGAAAUGCGUAGAUAUGCGGAGGAACACCGAUGGCGAAGGCAAUCCCCUGGGCCUGCACUGACGCUCAUGCACGAAAGCGUGGGGAGCAAACAGG
rnacentral:rRNA from 1 species